rnacentral:rRNA from 1 species
UCACACCCGUUCCCAUACCGAACACGGAAGUUAAGCUUCUCAGCGCCGAUGGUAGUUGGGGGCUGUCCCCCUGUGAGAGUAGGACGCUGCCGGGC